rnacentral:rRNA from 1 species
CCUACGGGGGGCAGCAGUGAGGAAUAUUGGUCAAUGGACGAGAGUCUGAACCAGCCAAGUAGCGUGAAGGAUGACUGCCCUAUGGGUUGUAAACUUCUUUUAUAUGGGAAUAAAAUGUUCCACGUGUGGGAUUUUGUAUGUACCAUAUGAAUAAGGAUCGGCUAACUCCGUGCCAGCAGCCGCGGUAAUACGGAGGAUCCGAGCGUUAUCCGGAUUUAUUGGGUUUAAAGGGAGCGUAGGUGGACUGUUAAGUCAGUUGUGAAAGUUUGCGGCUCAACCGUAAAAUUGCAGUUGAAACUGGCAGUCUUGAGUACAGUAGAGGUGGGCGGAAUUCGUGGUGUAGCGGUGAAAUGCUUAGAUAUCACGAAGAACUCCGAUUGCGAAGGCAGUUCACUGGACUGCAACUGACACUGAGGCUCGAAAGUGUGGGUAUCAAACAGGAUUAGAUACCCGAGUAGUC